AUCCUGGAUUUCAUUUGGUGAGGUCAGGUUAUCCUGGAUUUCAUUUGGUGAGGUCAGGUUAUCCUGGAUUUCAUUUGGUGAGGUCAGGUUAUCCUGGAUUUCAUUUGGUUAGGUCAGGCUAGAGUUCAUUUGGCCAGGUCAGGUUAUGCUGGAUAUAGUUAGUUUAUAUGCUGGAUUUCAUUUGGUGAGGUCAGAGUAGGUUAGAUUUAGAUUGGUUAGAUCAGAUAUCGUCAAGCUAGGCUAGAUUUAGUUUAUUUAGGUCAGGUUACGCUAGAUUUGCUUUGGUCAGGUCAGAUCAGCUUAGAUUUAGUUUAUUUAGGUCAGGUUACACUAGAUUUGCUUUGGUCAGGUCAGAUCAGCUUAGAUUUAGUUUAUUUAGGUCAGGUUACACUAGAUUUAGUUUGGUCAGGUCAGGUUAGAUUAGUUUGGUCAGGUCAGGUCAGGUGAGAUUAGUUUGGUCAGGUCAGGUUAGAUUUAGUUUGGUUAGGUCAGGUCAGGUUUUAUUUAGUUUGGUUAGGUCAGGUUUGAUUUAGUUUGGUUAGGUCAGGUCAGGUUUGA